UACGGAGGGGGGCUAGCGUUGUUCGGAAUUACUGGGCGUAAAGCGCACGUAGGCGGAUCAGUCAGUUAGGGGUGAAAUCCCAGGGCUCAACCCUGGAACUGCCUUUAAUACUGCUGGUCUGGAGUCCGAGAGAGGUGAGUGGAAUUCCGAGUGUAGAGGUGAAAUUCGUAGAUAUUCGGAGGAACACCAGUGGCGAAGGCGGCUCACUGGCUCGGUACUGACGCUGAGGUGCGAAAGCGUGGGGAGCAAACAGG
rnacentral:rRNA from 1 species